rnacentral:rRNA from 1 species
CUACGGGGUGCACCAGUGAGGAAUAUUGCACAAUGGGGGGAACCCUGAUGCAGCAACGCCGCGUGGAGGAUGACGCAUUUCGGUGUGUAAACUCCUUUUAUAUGUCAAGAAAAUGACGGUAGCAUAUGAAUAAGCACCGGCUAACUCCGUGCCAGCAGCCGCGGUAAUACGGAGGGUGCAAGCGUUACUCGGAAUCACUGGGCGUAAAGGACGCGUAGGCGGGUUGGAAAGUCAGGUGUGAAAUCCUACAGCUUAACUGUAGAACUGCACUUGAAACUUCUAAUCUAGGGUAUGGGAGGGGGAGAUGGAAUUAGUGGGGUAGGGGUAAAAUCCGUAGAUAUCACUAGGAAUACCUAAAGCGAAGGCGAUCUCCUGGAACAUUACUGACGCUAAGGCGUGAAAGCGUGGGGAGCAAACAGGAUUAGAUACCCUUGUAGUC